AAAGUAUCGAGUGGCUAAAUAUUUGAAAAGGGCCCAACUUGGAAACAAGCGCUCCCUCCAAACCAAGAUCAAGAGGAAUCGUCGGAUCGCGUGAACAGUGCUCAUUGCUGUGGAUCAAGCGAUGACAGCACAGAUUCUUAUAAAAUAUAUUAAGGACAUACAAAGGCAAUUUUUUGUAUAGAUAUUAGGCACGCUUUUCAAUGUUAUUUUUGUGUUCAUUUCAUGACAUUGCGGUGUUUGUUGCACAGCUAUGGAAGACUACAAAUGACAGAUACGGCAUGCACCCAGUCAACGGAAGGGCGAUGGAUAGAUGAAUGAACGUAUGAGAGAAAAAAACGGAUGAACAAACAAAUGAAUGACUACACUUGGAACGUAGGAAAAUUGCCGUUGAAGUCUGAUCAUUUGCAUAAUAAGAUUGUAUCACAAAUCAUCUUCCUAUGUCCACAG